GGAAAAACUAAUUGCCAAGCCAAUUUUCUUUUCAGGGUAGUCAUGUGAAGACAGGGUCUCUGGGGUCAGUGGAAGAAUACCUGUGUGUCUGCUGCUGAGCAGAAAGAUGUCUUAAUAAUGGAGAAAGUAGCCACACAAAGAAUAAAGUCCUACAAGCAAGACUGUAAAAUGAGAUGAGGUAGAAUUAUUUGUACUAGAGACUCUUCUGCUAAAAGGAAACUAGAUAUAAAUAUAAGAUGAUAUUGGUUCCUCUUUACGUAUUCAGUUAGAUUUUCAUACUUAACAAACAACCCCAAAUAAUUAUGUCUUAACCAUUUGUUUUAUUCAUGAUUCUAGGAGUUAGAACUUUGGUCUGGGUUUAGUUGAGUGGUUUUGGAUUUGGCCCAGUACAUUCAUAUAUCUGUAGUCAGCUAUUAGGUCGAUUGGGGCCUUACUGGUCCAAUGGCUUUCGUCAUCAUAGCUGAUCUCUUAGCUCUGUUGCACAUAAUUGCUUACCCCUCCCCCCUACCCCCCCAGAAGGCUAGCUUGCUGGUGUUCUCUUGGUAACAUUCCAAGAAGCUCAGAACUGGCACCAUUACUUUUAAUGAAAUCUGUUGGUCAUGUCAGCUCACAAGGACAGAUCACAUUCAGGUGCUGGUGAAACUGAUUCUACCUCCUGAUUGAGAAGAACACAAAAUGGUGUGCACACACAAGUGAAUAUAAGUUCAGGCACUCUUGCCAACAUUUACCACAGACACGUAAGCAUCGACAGAGGACAUAUUGUCUAUACUGGGAGACCAUCUUCAGGAUUAUAGCUGGAUUUAACCAAACCCAAUUAACUCACUCUUCUCAUCAAAUACUUUCAACGGACACCCCAGUUCCUAUUAAGGAACUUGGAAUAAGCCUUCAGAUCAAGUCUGAACCCUUCCCAGGUGGUCAGAGUAGUGUCUUCACUUUUUGGAUUUUAGCCCAGGGUAAAAAGCUUCUGCAGCCCCACUGCUCAGUGUGUGUGUGUGUGUGUGUGUGUGUGUGUGUGUGUUGUGUGUGUGUGUGUGUGUAUUUGCAUAGAGACCAGAGAUCUUUAAUAAAGACCUCUGAAGGAUUGCUCCAGGAACCCAUUUUGUUUUAUUUUGUUUUGUUGCAUGUGUUUACUUUGAGCUUGAUAUUUCUCUCUGUGUUUAUCUUCAGGAUGACUUUCAGCUGCUCAUAAUUGAUGCUGUGUUUUAUCCAGUUCUAUCAGGCCCAAUCCAUCUGCUUUUUGUGUUUCAGGACUCUUUUACAAUAGCUUAUAUUUUUCCC
rnacentral:lncRNA from 1 species